GGCUCAGGAUGAACGCUAGCUACAGGCUUAACACAUGCAAGUCGAGGGGCAGCAUGGUCUUAGCUUGCUAAGGCCGAUGGCGACCGGCGCACGGGUGAGUAACGCGUAUCCAACCUGCCUUACACUCUUGGACAGCCUUCUGAAAGGGAGAUUAAUACAAGAUGUUAUCAUGAGUAAGCAUUUUCGCAUGAUUAAAGGUUUACCGGUGUAAGAUGGGGAUGCGUUCCAUUAGAUAGUAGGCGGGGUAACGGCCCACCUAGUCUUCGAUGGAUAGGGGUUCUGAGAGGAAGGUCCCCCACAUUGGAACUGAGACACGGUCCAAACUCCUACGGGAGGCAGCAGUGAGGAAUAUUGGUCAAUGGACGAGAGUCUGAACCAGCCAAGUAGCGUGAAGGAUGAAGGUUCUAUGGAUUGUAAACUUCUUUUAUACGGGAAUAAACGGAUCCACGUGUGGAUUUUUGCAUGUACCGUAUGAAUAAGGAUCGGCUAACUCCGUGCCAGCAGCCGCGGUAAUACGGAGGAUCCGAGCGUUAUCCGGAUUUAUUGGGUUUAAAGGGAGCGUAGAUGGGUUGUUAAGUCAGUUGUGAAAGUUUGCGGCUCAACCGUAAAAUUGCAAUUGAUACUGGCAGUCUUGAGUACAGUUGAGGUAGGCGGAAUUCGUGGUGUAGCGGUGAAAUGCUUAGAUAUCACGAAGAACUCCGAUUGCGAAGGCAGCUUACUAACCUGUAACUGACAUUGAUGCUCGAAAGUGUGGGUAUCAAACAGGAUUAGAUACCCUGGUAGUCCACACGGUAAACGAUGAAUACUCGCUGUAGGCGAUAUACAGUCUGCGGCCAAGCGAAAGCAUUAAGUAUUCCACCUGGGGAGUACGCCGGCAACGGUGAAACUCAAAGGAAUUGACGGGGGCCCGCACAAGCGGAGGAACAUGUGGUUUAAUUCGAUGAUACGCGAGGAACCUUACCCGGGCUUAAAUUGCAACCGAAUAUGGCGGAAACGCUAUAGCUAGCAAUAGCGGUUGUGAAGGUGCUGCAUGGUUGUCGUCAGCUCGUGCCGUGAGGUGUCGGCUUAAGUGCCAUAACGAGCGCAACCCUUGCCGAUAGUUACUAACAGGUCAUGCUGAGGACUCUGUCGGGACUGCCAUCGUAAGAUGUGAGGAAGGUGGGGAUGACGUCAAAUCAGCACGGCCCUUACGUCCGGGGCUACACACGUGUUACAAUGGGGGGUACAGAGGGCUGCUACCACGCAAGUGGAUGCCAAUCCCAAAAACCUCUCUCAGUUCGGAUUGAAGUCUGCAACCCGACUUCAUGAAGCUGGAUUCGCUAGUAAUCGCGCAUCAGCCACGGCGCGGUGAAUACGUUCCCGGGCCUUGUACACACCGCCCGUCAAGCCAUGGGAGCCGGGGGUACAAGAAGUGCGUAACCGCAAGGAG
rnacentral:rRNA from 1 species